rnacentral:lncRNA from 1 species
AACUGCACGGCAUCAUGCGAUACGCGAUGCAGCGAGACCAAGAGGCCAAAUCUGUGCAAGAGGGCGUGCGGGAGCUGCUGCGGAAAGUGCAAGUGUGUGCCACCAGGCACUUCUGGGAACUAUGAGGCCUGCCCUUGCUACUUCAACCUCAAGACUCAUAACAACACCCGCAAAUGUCCUUAGAUGUUUUCAUAAAUCAUCUAUGAGUGUUUAUAUAUUGUCUUUAUUAGUUUUGGUCUUAACUCUCAUGUAUUGCUGCAUUAAAAUUAAGGUAGCUACCGAAUGAUAAGAAGCUGGAUUUCAUUAUGCAUGAAGUGAAGCAAACUCGGCAGUAUCAGUGUAAUUUUGAGUGAUGAUAUGUGAUAAAUCGACAGAUCAUUAUUUGAGAUAAAAGAGCAGGCUUUUGUUUAUUAUGGGGCCGUUUGGCUGAAUUUAAAAAAACUGACUUAUUGCUUAAAGUAAAGAAGUGGAUUAUAAGUUAGAAGUUAAUUUAAACUUGUAAGUUAUUAGAAGUGUUUGGAUAUCAUAAUUUAUAAGUUAAAUAUCUCUAUUAGAAGAAGCUGUAAUUUAGAAAAAAAGCUAGCUUUCCUUACUCUUUUUUUUUUGGAGCUUUUACGCCUCAGUAUAAACGCUUCUGUUGCAGAGCAAAACAGUCUCUAUAUACAGGAUUGUAGAUAUUUUAAAUUAUAUCACUGACAGAUUCUCAGCGGAGAGGAAGUGGACUAGUGGAGAACAUAAUGGCUGGUUAAUUUGUUUUUUAGAAAUAAACAUUUGUUUCUGAAAAUAGAUACAUAAAAUCCUACAGUAAUUUUUUUCAAGGCAACAGGCAAUGGACAACAGGCCUGAGACCAUGGCGCCUUUCACGCCUUUGCCACUUAUCAGUUACAGGGGCAGAACAACCCCCAAGAAAACAGGGACAGGAUUUGAGAUGAAAACUGUUUCAUCACAAUUUUUAAUUUCAAAAUAAAUAUAUUUCCUUCAUUUUUAAUUUCAACCUGUGGAAAUAAUGCUAAAUAAAUCAAUUUGUUUGCUACUGCCUAUGUCUGAAACUUCGUUUUCAUUGCUCGAGUGUUGAGGCUCUUUUCCGUUAAGAAUCUUCCCAACAUCAUCGUCAAAAAUGAGUUCCUCAUUUUCUUCAUCAUCUAUAUUGAUUCCUGCUAACUGCACGUUUAUAUUUAUUAUUAUCGUGGAUAUUGAAAUAUUAAUAGGGUUUAUCUAGUGUGUGUCCAUGGGCACAUACUAAGCACGGAAACUCAUAAAUUUGGUGUGUUUUGAUUGGUGAAAUUGGUGUGAAUGCAGGAGGGUCAUCAUUACUAAAGAGGUGUAAGCCAAUCAAAACAAGGAAAAGUUAUCAAAUUUUGUACUUAUUGUGUGCACAUGGGCAUACCAUAGAAAAACCGAUAUUAAUAUAUGACAAGUUGAAACUUUAGACCAAACUCUUGAAAUUGAAGGAUGUUUGGUUUAAAUAUAGAACAAGAUUUAGAUCAAAGGGUCCUAUUCCCAGACAAUCGUCUGUCAGGGAGGGCUUAUCUAACAUACUGUACGAGGGCCGUUAGAUUUAUAUUUUAAGGAUUGAGAUUCAAUCUUAUUUUUUAAUACAUCCGCUAUUAAUAUCUGUGACCGGAAUAGUUUCAUUCCGCAGAUAUUAUCUGCGGAAAGGCGAACUCCCGUUCCACGAAUAUUUAUAGCAGAUCCAUUAAAAAAUAAGAUUGAAUCUCAAAUCUUAAAAUACAGAUCUAACGUCUCCCGUACAGUGUGUUAGAUAGCCCACCCAGAUGAAAAUAAACUUCACCUUUUAAAGAUGGCCUUCACCGUCGCCUUAGCACGGUUAAUUACUUAAUUAUGUGCACUGCCAUGGAAUCCUUGUAGAGCUAGCUAGCCACUAGCCAGUGAGCAACUGAAUAAACAUUCACCGUCACGCAUGAGCUGGCUGUGAACUGUACAAUGAUGAUACACAUACUCAAAAAGAAGUACAGUAGGUGACAAACGACAUGCAGUAGUGGGAACAAGUGAAACAAGUACUCCUAUCUAUCUUUGUGCGUAUCCAACUGGACAGGUUCUUAAUUGUUUUGGCCCAUUGCCAUCUGUAUUCUCAGAAUCUCAGUCUUAUGUUUGAAAACAUGAGCUCCAAACAGGUGCAAACUGCAAACUCACCUUCUUGGAUCCCUCUUUAAGUCCAAAUAUAUUCACCACUUGCCCUUUAUUAUAAAACUCAAUCUUAUCUCUAAAUCUUUGCCAGCCCAUACAUUAAGUCAUCAUACGACCCCUGCUCCACUUCAGAUCAUCACUCUCACUAUAAAUUCCUCACUUCCUCUUCUUCACAUUUUCACAUCAAGCUAGCUUUAUUUACUUUAUUAACAGAACAAUGGCAGCAUUCUCUAGAGCAUUUGCACUUCUCCUGCUUCUCAUUUUCAUCACAGAUUUCCAGCAAAUAGUAAUGUCUUCACAUACUCAACUGAUAAUUUUACUGUACAGUACAAUUAUAUAAGACAUUGCAUAUGUUGCACUUAUUAAUGAAUUUUUUUUUUUUUUGCAGGCAGGGUUGAUGAAUGGUCCAGUGGCACCACCAGCUAUCAACUGCACGGCAUCAUGCGAUACGCGAUGCAGCGAGACCAAGAGGCCAAAUCUGUGCAAGAGGGCGUGCGGGAGCUGCUGCGGAAAGUGCAAGUGUGUGCCACCAGGCACUUCUGGGAACUAUGAGGCCUGCCCUUGCUACUUCAACCUCAAGACUCAUAACAACACCCGCAAAUGUCCUUAAAUGUUUUCAUAAAUCAUCUAUGAGUGUUUAUAUAUUGUCAUUAUUAGUUUUGGUCCAAUGUAUUGCUGCAUUAGAAUUAAGGUUGCUGCCGAAUGAUAAGCUGGAUU